CCUCAUCUACCUGCUGUGGGCAAAUCAAAUGAAUAUGUGUAUCAAAUCCACCCGCGGUGACAAUUUUGUUUUCUCCAGCGAUCAUGUCUGUCGAAGCACCCACUACCAAAUCUGGGUGAACACCAUCCAUCACAUCGGGAUUACCGGCUUUGCCGAUACCACAAAUAAUUCCAUCUUUAAUACCAAUAUCGGCCUUGUAGAUGCCGGUAUAAUCAAUAAUCAACGCAUUUGUAAUGAUCGUAUCAGCGCACUCGGCCGACGACCGCCCAGAGGCCUGACCCAUCCCAUCGCGG
rnacentral:sRNA from 1 species